CAGCCGUAAACGAUGCGCGUUAGGUGUAUCGACGACCACGAGUCGUCGAGGUGCCGAAGGGAAACCGUGAAACGUGCCGCCUGGGAAGUACGGUCACAAGGCUGAAACUUAAAGGAAUUGGCGGGGGAGCACCACAACAGGUGGAGCCUGCGGUUUAAUUUGGACUCAACGCCGGACAACUCACCGGGACGACAGCAAUAUGUAGGCCAGGCUGAAGACCUUGCCUGAAUCGCUGAGAGGAGGUGCAUGGCGUAGAACGUCU
rnacentral:rRNA from 1 species